ACAAACUUGGUCAUUUAGAGGAAGUAAAAGUUGUAACAAGGUUUCCGUAGGUGAACCUGCGGAAGGAUCAUUAACAAAUCCAAUAAUUGUGGAGUGGGGAUAAUACCCCAUUUUGCAAAUAUUAAACCGCCAAUCCGAAAAGAUUGGUUGGCUAUUUAUUAUAUAUAUUAUAUAUAAAUGCGUGUUGUGUUGACAGUGUGUGUGAGUAAAUUAAAUAUUGACAACUUUUAACAAUGGAUCUCUAGGCUCUUGCAUCGAUGAAGAACGCAGC
rnacentral:misc_RNA from 1 species